rnacentral:lncRNA from 1 species
UGCUGUUCCAGUUCAAGCACACCCACCUCUUCUGUUUCUAUAGUGUCCAAACCAAGUAACUUUGUACUCCUUUGUGAGGUUCCCAUCUAACUAUGCUGAUGGACAGAUGCAGUGCAACCCAUCUAGAGAUUCUUGGAUUUACAGAAAAUUAUGCUGUGGCUCUUUGCCAGCAAGGAAAUAAUCUGGACACAAACUUGAACUGCUGAGCAGAUUAAAGGCAAACAAAGGGACAGUGAUGAAAACAGCAAAAAAAAAUGCUGUGCAUCUGAAUGUUACCAGAAUUUACCCAAUGUAGCAACCCCGAGUGGAAAAGAAGGAAAGCUGAAGCUUUGAAAAAUUUCCUGAAGGACACCUAAUUGUAAUUCCUACUUUGAUUUCUCUGUAAAGUUUCUGAAUGCUUCUGGAUGACUACAGUGACAAUUCCCUGACCUGCUGUCCAGAUGAUUGACUGGUUGAUAAUGUCUUUAAUGUUUUGUCAUGUUUUGCCAACAUUGUUUUUAACAAAUCCCAAG